CGGUACUGCAAGUCUUCCGUUAAAUCCACCUGCUUAACAGUUGGGCUGCGGGGGAUACUACAGCGCUAGGAGGCGGGAGAGGCAAGCGGUACUCAAUGGGUAGGGGUAAAAUCCGCUGAUCCAUUGAAGACCACCAGUGGCGAAGGCGGCUUGCCAGAACGCGCUCGACGGUGAGGGAUGAAAGCUGGGGGAGCAAACCGGAUUAGAUACCCGGGUAGUCCCAGCUGUAAACGAUGCAGACUCGGUGAUGGGCUGGCCUUGUGCCAGCCCAGUGCCGCAGGGAAGCCGUUAAGUCUGCCGCCUGGGGA
rnacentral:rRNA from 1 species